rnacentral:rRNA from 1 species
CAGCCGCCCGCGGUAAUACAGAGGGUGCAAGCGUUAAUCGGAAUUACUGGGCGUAAAGCGCGCGUAGGUGGUUUGUUAAGUUGGAUGUGAAAGCCCCGGGCUCAACCUGGGAACUGCAUCCAAAACUGGCAAGCUAGAGUACGGUAGAGGGUGGUGGAAUUUCCUGUGUAGCGGUGAAAUGCGUAGAUAUAGGAAGGAACACCAGUGGCGAAGGCGACCACCUGGACUGAUACUGACACUGAGGUGCGAAAGCGUGGGGAGCAAACAGGAUUAGAUACCCCCGUAGUCCCUGUCUCUUAUA